CCUANGGGGGCAGCAGGCGCGAAAACUUUACAAUGCACGCAAGUGUGAUAAGGGAAUCCUAAGUGCCUAUCUUUUGAGAUAGGCUUUUUUCAAGAGUAAAUUUCUUGAAGAAUAAGUGGUGGGCAAGACCGGUGCCAGCCGCCGCGGUAACACCGGCGCCACAAGUCGCAAUCGUGUUUAUUGGGCCUAAAGCGUCCGUAGCCUGUUUGAUAAGUCUUCUGUGAAAUUGUCAGGCUCAACCUGACAGCGUGCAGGAGAUACUGUCGAACUUGGAACCGGGAGGGGUCAGAGGUAUUUCAUGGGGAGCGGUAAAAUGCUAUAAUCCAUGAAGGACCACCUAUGGCGAAGGCAUCUGACUAGAACGGAUUCGACGGUGAGGGACGAAAGCCAGGGGAUCAAACCGGAUUAGAUACCCUANUANUC
rnacentral:rRNA from 1 species